CGGGGGCCUGUGACAGCACUUCUGUCUGGGAGAAAGCUGCCCCCCUCCCCACUGCUGUCACCCUGAAGCUGGACAAUUCAGUUCCACCCCUAUGUCCCUGAUGCCUUUCAA